rnacentral:lncRNA from 1 species
CAUGCAUACUAUUCAAAUUUCUCACCAUUAGACCAAACAUAAUGACUUCAUCAUUGACAUUAUUCCAUUUAGCUAAAUAUAUUUUUCACCAUUCUUUCUUGUCUCAUAUAUUUUUUACUGAUUUUGAGGACAUAAGAAUUAAAAUAUGAUAUUUUUAUUUAUUUAAAAAUAUAUGCUAAGUUGAUUUUGUUGUUUCCGCUGCAGUAAACAAUUGGUUGGGUUCUUCGAGUAGUAAUGGUAUAGGAUAUUCAAAGUUCAUAUCUCUAAGUGAACUCAAUAAAGCAACAAAUGGAUUUAUUGUAAAGGAUGUUAUAAGCAUGGAGGUUGAAAUCCAAGUAUCCAUGACUAAGUUUUCCUCUAAUUAGAUCAUUAACUUGUGAUUAAUUUAAAAAUAAAAUGAGAAUCAAUGUCGUUUGUUGUAAGAUUGUUUCCUUGUAUUUCAUCUAGGUGUCCUUCAUUUAAAGUUGUUUGUGGACAUUUUUCUUUCUUUGUAUUUCAUUUUGAUGUAUUUAAUAUAAUUAAGGUUGGUUGUAUUCACCAAAAAAAUAAGGUUGGUUGUGCGUGCACAUUA